AGAGUGAACGCUGGCGGUAGGCCUAACACAUGCAAGUCGAACGGCAGCACAGUAGGAGCUUGCUCUUACGGGUGGCGAGUGGCGGACGGGUGAGGAAUACAUCGGAAUCUACCUUUUGGUGGGGGAUAACGUAGGGAAACUUACGCUAAUACCGCAUACGCCCUUCGGGGGAAAGCCGGGGACCAGCAAUGGCCUGGCGCUGAUAGAUGAGCCGAUGUCGGAUUAGCUAGUUGGUGAGGUAAUGGCUCACCAAGGCGACGAUCCGUAGCUGGUCUGAGAGGAUGAUCAGCCACACUGGAACUGAAGACACGGUCCA
rnacentral:rRNA from 1 species